AAAAGCCUACCAAGCCGACGAUCUGUAGCUGGUCUGAGAGGACGACCAGCCACACUGGGACUGAGACACGGCCCAAACUCCUACGGGAGGCAGCAGUGGGGAAUUUUGGACAAUGGGCGCAAGCCUGAUCCAGCCAUGCCGCGUGCGGGAAGAAGGCCUUCGGGUUGUAAACCGCUUUUGUCAGGGAAGAAACGCUCUGGGCUAAUACCCUGGGGUAAUGACGGUACCUGAAGAAUAAGCACCGGUUAACUACGUGCCAGCAGCCGCGG
rnacentral:rRNA from 1 species